GAAAUCUCAACCAUUAGGGUUUCUUAAUGGCUUGGAUUUGGAGGUUGCCAUUCUGAAUGGCUCCUCUUAAAAGAGUUAGCAAGGUUAACUAUUGCUAUCUGGCGUAAUAAGUUUCGCUGGAAAGUGUAGUGAAGCAUGCUUCUAAUCGUCUUCGGACAAUACUUUGACUC
rnacentral:misc_RNA from 1 species